CCUGGGAUUAAAGCCCAUAUAUUGAUGACACUGUUCACAAUGAUGAUCUGUGGUAUUAUCAACAAAAAGGAAAUCCAAAAAAUAUAAACACAGGCAGGUGACCUGUGAAGAUCACUGAAUGCAAGGACUGGUCACACAGUUACUUUUUCAUCACUGUUCUAACUGCAAAUAGUCGCUAAAUGAGGACUACCUGUAUGGGUCAUUUCUACAGUAUCCAAAAAAGGUAGUAGAAAUUAGGACACAUCCAGAUGAUAAUCUCCAAAAUGGUGUACAGUGAGUCUUGGACCCUUUACGCCGGCAGGAGAGAAAGUUGAACACCUUUUUUGGCACCACCUGGCAGGACAAAGUUCCAAAUAGCGCAGUCUUGGAACGUGCUGGAAUUUCUAGCACGUAUACACUAUUGAAACAGCGAUGUCUACGCUGGCUUCGGCAUGUCAUGAGAAUGGCUGAUGGCCGGAUUCCGAAAGGUCUCCUAUAUGGAGAAUUAGUGUACGGAAAGCGCCUCAGAGGGAGACCACAGCUGCGAUGUAAGGAUAUCUGCAAGAGGGAUCUAAAGGCCUUGGGAAUGGACAUUAAUGACUGGGAAACCUUGACCUCUGACCGUUCAGCUUGGAGGCUAAAGACGCAGCAUGGCCUUCUCCAAUUCGAAGAGACACUUGUUCGGCAGGCUGAGGCAAAGAGGCAGUCCCAGAACCAGCGAAAUCUGGUGGCUGGGCAGGGGACAGAAUAUAUCUGCCCUCAGUGUGGAAGGGAUCGCCACUCUCGAAUUGGCCUUCUUAGUCACACCAGACGCUCUUUAGGACCUCUUUCCAGAGCACGAUACCAUAGUCUUUUGAGACUGAAGGAUGCCAAUGAAUGAUUUCCAACUUUACCAUUUAAUCAGCAAAGAAGGCAAAGGGAAACUAAUAGAUAUUAAAGAUGGAAAAACGAAAUAUGGUAAAUUUGAAAAACUUAGAAAAAAUAAAAAGAGGGGAUUGUAAAAUACUGGGGAAAAAAGGAACACAAGGCUUAAGAAUAUGAGAAAAAGAAAAUCAAAUAACAUUAAAUAUUGUUUCCCAAAGAAUA